UACGAAGGGUGCAAGCGUUACUCGGAAUUACUGGGCGUAAAGGGUGCGUAGGUGGUUUGUUAAGUCUGCUGUGAAAUCCCCGGGCUCAACCUGGGAAUGGCGGUGAAUACUGGCAAGCUAGAGUGCGGUAGAGGGUAGUGGAAUUCCCGGUGUAGCAGUGAAAUGCGUAGAGAUCGGGAGGAACACCAGUGGCGAAGGCGGCUACCUGGACCAGCACUGACGCUGAAGCACGAAAGCGUGGGGAGCAAACAGG
rnacentral:rRNA from 1 species